UUUUGUUAUAGGAGCGAAGAUAUUCUACAUUACCCUGUAUGGCUGUAUCAGUAUUUUGUAUGAAGUAUUAAACACAUCGGGGUUUCACCUCUUAUUUAUGCAAACACAUGUCUCAUAAACGCAGUAGGCUGAGUAAACCAACGAUUGAUGAGCAGCUGCUGUCUGCAAUAAGCAAUGUUAAUGCUAUUACACAUCAAGGUGUUCGUGGUAGAAAACUAUUAAGAAGAAAAAUGCCAGUAGAGAUAUAGUUCUUCAAAGAAGCGAAGGUGGUGAACGGAUUAUUCAUAAGCCAAGCAAAGCACUUCGAGAAAUAGAAAUACACAAAGAGAUGAGGAAAUGCCUACAACAUCGUCAGAUUUACAUGAUGUUCCACAGGAAAUGUUAUGUGAUGACUGUUACUAAAAGAGAUCUUGAAGCUAUUCUUGAAAGCUCUCAGUUGGUUAUUGGAGAAGUGGAUACUGGGCCAUCUGCUUGGCAAAAAAGAAUGGAAAAUCAAGAAGAAAAUUGGGAAAGUAUGAGGGGAAAAAUAUUCAAUGUCACUGUGUCAUCAUUUGCUCCUCCUUUAUCUGCUAUGAAGUGUUGUACAUGUAAUGAAAAUGAAGCUGUACUGCGAUGCAGACAAUGUGGUGUGUUGAGAUAUAUUUGUAGAGAAUGUGAUAAUGAUGUCCAUGAGAACAAUCCUCUCCGUGAUUGAGAAGUGUGGUUGGAUGGUUAUUUUCAAUAUAUCAAGCCUACACAGUCCAUUUCAUCUGAUGGAAAGAUUUUCAGCAUUGGGUCCAGUCCAGUGUUAUUAUCGUGAUGUAUUGAUUGCAAACAACAGUUUUGUGGACUCUCAUUUAAAAAGUCUUGGUUCAAAGUCAAUUCAGAUAAUUCUUGUGGUGACACCCAUUUGAAAGCUGCAAAAAUGGUCUCCAAAUCAAAGAAAAACCAAGACGAGACUGGACUUGAAGUUGCUGGAUGCAGGCACUCGAUUGCUCAAGCUACUUUGAACAUGUUCAGAGGAGAGAUUUAUGGCUAUGCUCACUACUUGCAUAUGAAUUUUUUACAACCACAUAAAGUUAAAUAUAUGCGAGAAGAUAUUAUAUGCAAAUAUUGGCCUUGGGCUCUACAUGUUACAUCGGAAGAAAAUUAAAAUGCUUUAAGAAAUAUUGCACCAACACUGUCUAUAAUGCAUGGGAAAUCACACAGUUGGUCAUGUCAGGUUAUUUGGAGCGGAAGAUGGCAAAGUGGUGCGGCAGCAACUGCUGGCGAAGAAGUUGAGCAAAUAAAUUCGUAUUUGUCAAGACUUGGCUCGACUACUAAAAAUAUGACGACCUCCGGUGAGUAUUAUUUUCUGAUCUGCAUAUCCACUCAGGGUUUUUGGUCGAUUAAGUCCACGAACUAAUGUGCACAUUAAUGGUUGUACGUAUUAAGAAGAAUGCAUUACUGAACAUCUUCUGAGUUGGAACAAGCGAAAAAUUUUAAAUGUGGCAAAAUCACUUGUUAUUCGAAUGAAAAAGGUUACACGUUGUAUAUGUCUUCAAUAUUUUCAAAAUUAUAGUAGUGUGAGUCCAUGAUUCUAAUGUGUGCUACGUACGUGUAUAAUAUGAAAUGAAUUUACAGUUCAUAGUUGUGUAUAGGUGUUGUUUGAACCCAAUACGUUUACUUCGCUAAUAUAAUUCUUUUUCACUGUUUUUCAUAAUGUGUCCUUUCACUGUUUUUCAUAAUGUGUCCUUUCACUAUUUUUCAUAAUGUGUCCCCUGUUUGCAUCGGACGGCUCGAAAAACGACUGUGUUGAAGACUUCAAGUACCUUGGCGGUUAUUCAGAUACUGAGCAUGAUAUGUCUGUCAGAAUAGCGUUGGCAUGGAGUGCGCUGCAUUCUUCUCAGGCAGUUUGGAAGUCUCCAAUCAAGAAGGCAACAAAGACUAAAGUGUUCAAGGCUUGCAUUGAAAUCAUACUUCUCUACGGGUCAGAUUCAUGGACGCUAAAUGUGAAACGUAAAAAGCGCCAGGACGGCACAAAAACAAGAAUGCUUAGACACGCCUAUGACAUAUCUUGGAAAAGCCAAGAUAUGUCAUAGGCGUGUCCUACCAACAAAUCUCUGUACGGUACGCUUCCUCGUGUGUCUGAAACGGUUCGUCAGCGGCGUUUGACUCUUGCGGGCCAUGUUAGUCGUCAUGAAGAGCCCGCUGGUAGGCUACUCCUAUGGACACCCUCAGCAAAAAGAAGAAUUGGGCGCCCAUUUGUCACCCUCAAGAACAUCAUUGAGGAAGAAACUGGCUUGUUGACCGAUCGCCAAUGCUGGCACUUGGAAUACGUUCAUGUUUCACCUGAGCCAUCUGCCAUUGGAUGACGCAAGGCAAGGCAAGGUAAUUUCGAAGACCGAAAGGCAACUUUCAUCUGCCAGGGACGAUUUUGUAAAGUUAAGAAGCGAACUUAAUGUCCAGGAUUCAGACUUGGACGACUCGAUAAUGCAGUGGAAAGAAGAAGUUCAACAAUUUGCGAGAGAACAACAAAUUGGAGUUUCUUCGUUGAAAGGUGCCGCCGAAGAGUUCUUCAGUGUAUAUAGUGUGUAUAGUGUGCAUAGCCUAUUUAACGUGUAUUGCCUACACAGUGUAUGUAGUGUGUAUAGUGUGCAUAGCCUAUAUAACGUGUAUUGCCUAUAUAUCGUUUGUAUAGUAAGAGUGUAUCAAAAAAAGUAUAUUAUGGUAAAAAGUUCUUCGUAACAAGACGCGCGCGGUACAGAGAUACAGCUGGAAAUGAAAGUUUCAAAAUUGCAAAAUGUUAUAGCAGUGAAAUAUCUGCUGGUAAAAGUCCUUUAAAACAGGCCUUGCGCACGAAAAAUUUUCAUUGAAAAGACAAUUUAAUUAUCUUCAUUCAAAAUAUGGAGGAGGUUGUGCAAGCUAUCUUAAUUGCAAGCAAUUUGAGGCAAGCGCUGGCCAACGCAAGAUCUUUAUAGCACUUGAAUUUUUUUUGCUUUUUCGUAUUUCACUUACCUUUGGAAUUGGCUUCUUAAUCUCAUGUUGUACUUUAUUCAAAUUUGCAAAUAAAUCAUUACCAGCUGUACCAGAGAACGUUAAAAUACUCAUGCGCGUCUUAUUUUAGAGAAAUUUUUCCAAGAGUCUACUUUUUUGACACACCUGGAAUAUAAUUCGUUGGCUGUUAGCGUCUUAGUGUUUUUUCACGCAACAGUUGACGCUUUUUUUCAGAAUUUAUUUUUCCUCUCCAUAGAAAGAAUUUUAAAUCAUCUUAUUUUUGGGAUUAAUAGGUGAACAACACUUGAAUAAAACCGCGUACGUGUAUUACAUAAAUAUUUUAGAUAAUAAAUGAGCUCUAGUUGUUCUAAGCAUAUCGCAAAUUUUAUUUUCUUAUCUAUUUAUUUUGGAAUAUUUUUUAAUGCAUUUAUGAAAGAAUGAGUGUAUGAUCUAUGAAAUAGAACAUAUAUUUAGCAUUUAA